rnacentral:rRNA from 1 species
AUUGAACGCUGGCGGCAGGCCUAACACAUGCAAGGCGGGCGAGCGGCGGACGGGUGAGUAAUGUAUGGGGAUCUGCCUGAUGGCGGGGGAUAACUACUGGAAAAGGUAGCUAAUACCGCAUACCAUCAGAUGAACCCAUAUGGGAUUAGCUAGUAGGUGAGGUAACGGCUUACCUAGGCGACGAUCCCUAGCUGGUCUGAGAGGAUGAUGAGCCACACUGGGCCUGAGACACGUCCCAGACUCCUACGGGAGGGAGCAGUGGGUAAUAUUGCACAAUUGGGGCAAGCCUGAUGCAGCCAUGCCGCGUGUAUGAAGAAGGCCUUCGGGUUGUAAAGUACUUUCAGUCGGGAGGCGUUGCCGACAGAAGAAGCACCGGCUAACUCCGUGCCAGCAGCCGCGGUAAGAC